rnacentral:rRNA from 1 species
UACGAAGGGGGCUAGCGUUGCUCGGAAUCACUGGGCGUAAAGGGUGCGUAGGCGGGUCUUUAAGUCAGGGGUGAAAUCCUGGAGCUCAACGUCCAGAACUGCCUUUGAUACUGAAGAUCUUGAGUUCGGGAGAGGUGAGUGGAACUGCGAGUGUAGAGGUGAAAUUCGUAGAUAUUCGCAAGAACACCAGUGGCGGAAGGCGCUCACUGGCCCGGUAGUGACGCUGAGGUGCGAAAGCGU